UCUUCUGAAGGAACAAUAGGCCUGUUGUAAACCAGGGGGGCCUCGGCACAUGGCAAGUGCUCGGGGGAUGGCAGCUAGAGAUGAUGUUAUGUAUGCUCUUUUAUAUUUUGCCCCACAUAAGCAAGUGCUUAACUGCUGGUUAUUUGCUAUACUGAGUAUCAAAGAGCUGCAUUUUCUCCAAGGGACCUUCCUGGGAUCCUCGUUCACUUAAUCUUUCUUUGAAAGAGACCUGGGGCUUUCGGGGACCUGGGUGGCUCAUUCAGGCUCCUCCCUGCACCCCACAGGACAUCCCUUUGGGAGCCCGUGUGUGCAGAAGACUAUGCUGAGCACUGAUGGGGGUAAAAGAUGGGAAUCCAGCUCACUGUAAUCGCGGAUACCGUAAGCCAGCACCCGGCGGAGGGCUGUCCGUGUAGUGGCCCCUAAACUGUGACUCUGAGACAGAUGGCAGUGCAGGGCCCAGGACCAAGGACAGAAACAAGGAAGCACUCAAAGGCUAACGGGGGAGUAUCAGCAGGACACAGGAGCUGGCCGAAAGGAGCUCCCAUGGGCCGAACUCUGGAUCAUCUGAGUAUCAACAUCUGAUACUGCAUAUUGCGACACAUUUUGAGAAACUGAAUCUAAUGGCAGCUCCUUCUACGAAUCCAGGAUGGCUAUAACCGUGAAAACAAUCGCAAUGUAACAUCAGCCAAAAACUGUCCUGGCUCCAAGAUCUCCAAGUCUUCAUAUAUUUAUUCAGAGUAUAAUAAUUUUAUACAGCAUUUCAGAAAUAGUGUACUUUACCUUGGGAGGAAGUGUAUGGUUCUGUAUAAUGUCCAUUAUAAUGCAGCUGGGGUUGGGGAGGCAUCACAUAGGACUGGGGCUUAGGCUAAGGAAUGGAAAGUUGGAAACAGAGUUAAAAUACAUUGCUACCUAUGUAAUAUAUGUAAAGUAAGUCUCCGCUGGUUUCUUUCUUUCCAUUAAAAAACUUCUAAGGAAGUUAGAUAUAUUAUAUAGAAAAUACACAUGGAGACCCUGUAGCUCUUACCAUAUUUAUCACUUUCAGUGUCUCCCAGAAUGACAAUGCCAAGCCCUGUACAGUGGUAUCAGACAUCAGAGAUCACAAGAAAACAAGCUGUAUCCAGAAAGUUAAGAGCAAGAAGGAACAAAGUUUCCUGAAUUCUUAUAUAAACAUGUGAAUAUAAAAAGCUUUUAUGUAGUAUAUUUAAUCUUCUCAGGCAAAAUUAGCUAGUAUUUUAAAGAUCUACUAACUUCUGAUUACUCUUUGCUAAUAGUCGAAAAUGGUAGUAUUAGGUUGGACCUAGUAUUUAAAUAUGUGUAAUAACAUAAAGAUUACAUAAAUAUUAGGCUCAGCCUACUGCCGUUUCUUUGGUUAAAAACAAUCUAAUACCAGCACACUUUUGUGGUCCAUCUAAAAAUUAACACUAUCCAAAGGAUCUUUUAUUAAGGAAGAUGACAUCACUAAAAGAAAAAAAAGCAAUCAUAAUUUUCCUUCUUUCUUACCAGAGACACCCUUGAAGACGACCUCCUCCGAAUUGGGUUCACUGUGACAGUCUGGGUUUGCCUGUAAAAAUAAGACAUGUCACUGAGACAUACGUACACAUAGUUUUCCUAAUUUUGCCAAAGUAAAUCAAUAAGAAGGUAAAAUGAUAAAUCUGCUAAAGUAAAAAGAAGAUAAAACUAACCCAAUCAUAAAUUAGAGAAAAGGAAGGAGACUCUCUUGUCCUCACUUGGGGCCUCCCCACUUUGUGGCUACCCAGAAACCCCCCUCACCCCCCCUCCAGGGUUUGAGCCUCCUGAUGCAGCAACAUCUGCCUGGACAAUGAGAGGAUCAGCAGGCUGAAGAUCUAUCUAAACACGAGACCAAUAAGAGAAAUUACAAAGAAAAAAAAAAACGAGUGCUCAUCAGGAACUUAACAUCAGGUUGUUGCUAAAGAAGAAGUGUCUCUUUUCCAAAGAAUAUUCCAUCUGCCAGAAUUUAUGCAACAAUGACACAACCGAUGUGAAUUCUGUCGGGCUGCAAGAAUACCUGUUAACAACCACCAAAGCGUUAUCGGUCCUAAUUGAGGCCUCCUCGGGGAAACAAGGUUUAGGCAGAACUGGGUCCUCUGAAGCUCGCAUUUAGUCCACUGUCCAAACAGACUGAACUUUUAAGACUCUGGGGGCAGUUACUGUAUUGAUGGGUGCUGCUAAAAAUGAGACAGCCGAAGAACUCUUAGGGGAAAAAAAAAAAUCACUGGAAUGUGUGCACCGGAGAAGACAAACUAAGUAUAUGCUGCUGGCCCAAGGGAGGAAUCACUGAAGAAAUGAUGGUUCAAUAUUAUAAAUACUCUUAAACUUAUGAAAAGGCUGUGUUCUGACAGAGUGCGUAUCUACUGCUUGGAUCUCAGAACACUACUUCUGCAUGAAAAUAAUGUCACACGUGAUUAGGUAACCAGGCCAGUCCAGGAGAGCCCCAAAUGUGACCGCUGUGGACUAGUAGCACCGCUGAAUCUGGCCACCAGGGGGAGCACAUUCAUGCACAAAUACAUCCGGAGCUGCAAGCCAGCAGCCGGCAGAGAAAGCAGGGCCCAUAUGCACAGAGAAAGCAGGGCUCCCCCUCCCGGUCAGUUAGUGCUUUCCACAUCCCACCACCAGAGGAACAGUGGGACUCAGGGAAAAACACACCUAUGUGGUGUCCAGGGAGGAAGGGAGGGGAGGAGGACUGGGGCUGAGGGGCUAAUCUUUAGCUGGUUCCCCUGCAGGGUCAUCCCUGGUCAUUUCCUUUUCCUUCCUGAGUCCCAAAGACGGGCCUGCCCUGUGCAUGGUUAUUCCUAACCAGUUUCUCUUCACACCUUGGCUCCCUAUAAAACAGAAAGCACUUC